rnacentral:rRNA from 1 species
AGCAGCCGCGGUAAUUCCAGCUCCAAUAGCGUAUAUUAAAGUUGUUGCAGUUAAAAAGCUCGUAGUUGAAUUUCGGGGUUCUACCGUUGGUCGGGCUAACCAGUCUGUACUAGCGUGUAGAAUUCCUACCUUCUGGGGAACCAUCAUGUUAUUAAUUUAGCGUGGUGGGAAACCAGGACCUUUACCUUGAAAAAUUAGAGUGUUCAAAGCAGGCUUACGUCUGAAUACAUUAGCAUGGAAUAAUAGAAUAGGACGGUGGUCCUGUUUUGCUGGUUUCUGAAUCACCGUAAUGAUUAAUAGGGAUAGUUGGGGGCAUUAGUAUUCAAUUGUCAGAGGUGAAAUUCUUGGAUUUAUUGAAGACUAACUUCUGCGAAAGCAUUUGCCAAGGAUGUUUUCAUUAAUCAAGAACGAAAGUUAGGGGAUCGAAGACGAUCAGAUACCGUCGUAGUCUUAACCAUAAACUAUGCCGACUAGGGAUCGGACGAUGUUAAAUUUAUUGACUCGUUCGGCGCCUUACGGG